rnacentral:rRNA from 1 species
UACGAAGGUGGCAAGCGUUGUUCGGAUUUACUGGGCGUACAGGGAGCGUAGGCGGUUCGGUAAGCCCUCUGUGAAAUCUCCAGGCUUAACCUGGAACAGUCGGAGGGGACUGCCGGGCUAGAGGACGGGAGAGGAGCGCGGAAUUCCCGGUGUAGCGGUGAAAUGCGUAGAUAUCGAGAGGAACACCUGAGGUGAAGACGGGUUGCUGGGCCGACACUGACGCUGAGUGCGCGAAAGCCAGGGGAGCAAACGGG